rnacentral:rRNA from 1 species
CAGCAGCCACGGUAAUACGAAGGGGGCUAGCGUUGUUCGGAAUCACUGGGCGUAAAGGGUGCGUAGGCGGAUUCUUAAGUCAGGGGUGAAAUCCCGAGGCUCAACCUCGGAACUGCCUUUGAUACUGGGGAUCUUGAGUCCAGAAGAGGUGAGUGGAACUGCGAGUGUAGAGGUGAAAUUCGUAGAUAUUCGCAAGAACACCGGUGGCGAAGGCGGCUCACUGGUCCGGAACUGACGCUGAGGCACGACAGCAUGGGGAGCAAACAGGAUUAGAUACCCCAGUAGUCCCUGUCUCUUAUAC